rnacentral:tRNA from 1 species
GCGAGCAUGGUGGAAUUGGUAGACACACCGUCUUCAGGUGGCGGCGGCGCAAGCCGUGGGGGUUCAAAUCCCUCUGCUCGCA